AUUGAACGCUGGCGGCAGGCCUAACACAUGCAAGUCGAACGAGUGGCGGACGGGUGAGUAAUGUAUGGGGAACUGCCCGAUGGAGGGGGAUAACUACUGGAAACGGUGGCUAAUACCGCAUACUAUCGGAUGAACCCAUAUGGGAUUAGCUAGUGGGGGGGGUAAAGGCUCACCUAGGCGACGAUCUCUAGCUGGUCUGAGAGGAUGAUCAGCCACACUGGGACUGAGACACGGCCCAGACUCCUACGGGAGGCAGCAGUGGGGAAUAUUGCACAAUGGGCGCAAGCCUGAUGCAGCCAUGCCGCGUGUAUGAAGAAGGCCUUAGGGUUGUAAAGUACUUUCAGCGGGGAGGCGUUACCCGCAGAAGAAGCACCGGCUAACUCCGUGCCAGCAGCCGCGGUAAUAC
rnacentral:rRNA from 1 species